rnacentral:snoRNA from 1 species
ACCCCCUGGAAAAGGGUUAAGAGACAUCCUGUUGGUAGUACUAUUCCUAUAUCAGUCAGGAGCCAAGCAGUUGGCAAUCCCUUGUUCAUCCCAGCUUGAUGCCUGGCUUGGUGGCCAAAGCUGUUUUAUGCCUAGGACACAUAA